rnacentral:lncRNA from 1 species
CUGCACGACCUGUACUUCAGUCACCAGACACUCCUCCAGGCCGGCUUUGCCCGCCUCCCAGACCACCUGCAGAGACGAGAGGAGGCAGGGGUCACACUGGAAACAAGCGACGCUCGCGGACGCCCUCGAGGGCUCACCUUCUGCAGAUCACGAAGACACAGACCAGGGCCAGCAGCGUCCCCAGCGCGAUCAGCAGCGACGUCCGCCAGGCCACCUGAGUACCAGGACCGGGAGCGACUUCCGGACCUCCCAGCCCCAGUCUGGAACCCUAAGGGAGCGGAAAGACCACCAGGGAUCCCUGUCUGCCUGGUGCUCGGGACACGGGGAGCGCCAGGGACUUCCACUGUGCCCAGCAGGCCGGCAGAGACCGGGUUUCACCGUGUUAGCCGGGAUGGUCUCGAUCUCCUGACCUUGUGAUCCGCCCGCCUCGGUCUUUAUUACAAGGCCCAGGGGGUGUCUGUCAGUGGGACGACCUUGUUUCCCCUCCACGUCUCCUCUCGAUUGAGUAGCUGGAAGGAGGUUCUGUCUCUGACCUGUGGUUUGAAAGAAAAUAAAGAAGAGGGGCCAGAUACUUCAAAUUACUUCUCCUAUGCAUUUGGAGAGCGGGAGAGAAAAACACCAGGAAGGAAGAGGGAACAAAGAAACUCUACAGGCAGAGACACAGGACUGAGCCGCGUUGGGGGCACUGGGAGGAGUGAGCCUUGGGGUUGCACCCUCGGAGCCCCACUGUCCUGGGAGCAGCCUUCAGAACCACCCUUUUGUUCUCUGAAGUACCAGGCGUUCAGCUUUUCCAAGGACUGGCAGCUGCACAUCUUUGUCCCUGCCCCUUCCAUCUCUAGGCUCAGCCCCGCUGGGCAGCCUGGCCCACUCCCCACCCCUGCCCAGGGCCAACCCCUACUUCCCAUGCCCCCUCUGCCCACCUGCAGCACACUGGAGCCUUGGAGGCCCUCUCUGCAUCAUUCAAGAUGCAGACUCCUACACUUUGACCUGCACACAUCCUCCUGAAGCUUCCACUUCCUGGCCCCUGCCUGGCUUCUCACCUCCCCCACCUCCGCCCCCCAGGGGAUGUGCCGCCUCUCCCAGUGGCCCAGGACAUCCUCCACUUCCCGGGAACCCCAGGCACUUCCACAUCCUCAGACACAGUGAGAAGAUGACCCUCUCUCCAAGCCAGGAAGAGACCUCCCGAGGAGCCCAGCCAGCCAGCACGCUGACCUCCAACGUCCAGCCUCUGGAAAUGGGAUACCGAAGGCUGCGCUCCUGCCCCGCACCAGGAUGUGGGAACUUUGAGAACCGCUGGAGAGUCGAGAGAUGUCAUCGAAACGACACCCGAUACGUGUUCCCUGAGCAUCCGUUUUGUAGUGAAGACACUCGUACUGUUGACGCCUGCUGCGGUAAGCGGAGACAGGGCAGGGCGAUCAGGAGCAGCGUGAGCCAAAGGAGGACCAUCGGGAACGCAGCUCCGGAACGCAGGACAGAGGUGCCUGCUGCAGGAGAAACGAGAGUCAGGCAGCGGGGACUGGCUGUGAAACUGGGUUGCGGGUAAUGAAGGAUGCUUGCCCCUUCCAGAGCCUGGUGCUCACAGCAGAAGGAGCUGCUUCUGGAGGGAAAGCGGUGAUGGGUACGAGGGCUGUCUCCACCUCUUGGCUAUUGUGAAUAAAGCUGCUUGUUCCUUUUCAUGGCUGUAUAAUAUUCCACUGUGUGGCUGGACCACAUUAUAUUUCUCCAUUCAUCUAUAGAUGGGUAUGAGGGCUGUCUCCACCUCUUGGCUAUUGUGAAUAAAGCUGCUUGUUCCUUUUCAUGGCUGUGUAAUAUUCCACUGUGUGGCUGGACCACAUUAUAUUUAUCCAUUCGUCUAUAGAUGGGUAUGAGGGCUGUCUCCACCUCUUGGCUAUUGUGAAUAAAGCUGCUUGUUCCUUUUCAUGGCUGUGUAAUAUUCCACCGUGUGGCUGGACCACAUUAUAUUUAUCCAUUCGUCUAUAGAUGGGUAUGAGGGCUGUCUCCACCUCUUGGCUAUUGUGAAUAAAGCUGCUUGUUCCUUUUCA